GUUAUUGCUGUCAAAGAGUAAAACAGAUUAUUAAAGAAGUAUUUGCUUUUGUAUUAAUCUUGUAGGCAGUUUCAGUAUAAGAACUUAAGAGAUUGACACAUACAAAUACUUUAGGAAAAAGGGAAAACAGAUUUACAACUAACCAGAUAAAAACCACUAGGCAAAGCUGAACUGCACAUUUAGGUCGCAAAAGCAAUUGCUAGGCAGUUUAUGCUACAAUAAUCGAAGUAGUUGCUUAUUGUAAAACACUGCCCUAGAGACAAGAUCAAACAGCUAAUUAAUGACAGUCCCUUAAGAAAAUAGUUUACCUUAAAUAUUUAAUUUGAUUUUGUAGCUCUUUGGGUAUCAAAUGAAAACUUGUUUAAGUGCUCUAACUUCAGCUUUCUGAUCUACAACUGCUUCCUGCUGCAUGAGGUGAAGAUAAUAAUUGCAUAACACCUCAGGAUUCUUCAAGCUGCUGCUGAGGUCUUCGAAGGUCUAUUUGCAUGUCUUUCAACCAGUCACAUCAAUUUGUUUUUGUCAGAUGGCAUUGAGAAAAAGAAACCUGAAAAAGAGAAGGGAAUUUUAAAAACUGGGAGCCCUAGUCAGCCAUGGAGCAAGAUAAGGAGAUGGAGACUGUACCAACACCAUUGCCACCCUUGCCAACGACCACAGGACUCUAACAGGUUAGCUGACGGCAACGGUGGCAUGGGGGGUGGAGGCGGGAGUGUGGCAGGGCUCCCACUCUCGGCCAACUUCCUGCUGAACUGAACAACUGAGAGGAGUAGAUGUGAAAUCACAUCAUAAAGUUUCUUAUAGUUUUCAUAGGGUAUCUAAUAUACAAGCGAAGGACAGUAGUCAAGUUAAAAAAAUUCAGUUCAGAUUCAGCUCAAAAAUUAACCCCUCAAAAUUAAAAAAAUGUUGUGUCUUUAUCUCCAUGUCUACAGAAAUAUUUAUAUGGGGAGCAAGUUUACAAUGUUUUAAAACUCUUUUUCAUUCUACAUUAAAUGUGAACUUGACAAAAAGCCUUUUUUUUUUUUUUUUUUUUACAUUGAAAAUGAAAUGACAGCUUUUAAAGUUUUAGUAACAAGCCCUGUCCAAAAGGACUGUCUAGAUGGGCUGGCCCUGCCUGUGGAGUGCUGUGAUAGAAAUUUUGCAAAAGAGAAAAAUCAUCAUUUACCUACUCUGUCCUAAUCAAUGAGAAGACCUCUAAAGACCAGCGUAUUUAAAUAUUACAGGCCAACAUUAAAGAUGCACAAUUAACAACUUUCUCUCAGGGAUGGGAAAUUAUUUUAUAAAUGUGCAAGUGAAGAAUCACAUCAUUACUACAGAGCGAGGAAGAAAGGAGACACCAUACUGAACAGUGAGAGUUUUUUCAACGUUCCUUAAAGAUUUCCUACGUGGGUUUUGUUAGAUUGGAAAACUGUGGUUUUAAUGGUUUUACUGUAUUGACUAAAAUUCAAACGUAAAGCCUGAGAGAGGACGCUUACCUACAUUUAAGAGAGUCAUCGUUUUCCUCCUGGGGAGCUCACUCAUAAGAUCUCCAGAUCCAAAUCCAUCCACAAAUAC